AUUAGGCUUCUAUAUAUGCCAAAAAAUAAGGCUCAAUUUGACCUGAAUACAAGCUUAUUUAUUCAACAUGGUAUUGGGAAUAUAAGUAAGAAAAGGGAGGUGCUAUGAAAGACCAAAAAUAUACUCUAGUAAGUGCACAGUGCCACAUCAAGGUGAUUGUUUAUUCCCCUUUUUCAGGUCUCCUGAAUCUGAAAGUGGAAAUCUUCAAAUUUCCUCUUCUUCUGUUUGUGAAAGGAGCUAUUUCUGUCUGUGCAAGAUGCGCUUUGUAUAUCUGUGUGUGAUGUACACAGAACAGUACCCAGAACUGGGAUGCCACCAAAGAACCUGUGGAUGGGCAGUACCUGCCACGUGCGACCUCCAAGCAAGAUGAAGUCCAGCAAGUCCCUGAGGGUGAUUUCCUGUAGUACUUACUGGGGUUCUCCCUCCAGAGCAGUCCAGCUGCUGGGAAAGUGAUUUCCGACUGGUAUGGAGAGCAUGGGGCUGCCGAUCUCUGAAGGGCACGGCUUUCCGGGGCGUUGUGCAGUCUGUCUCCCCUGUCCAGUACGGGUUCAUGCCUGCCAGACAUGGGGAAAGGUCUCAGUUACUUCUCCUAGUUUUUGGCAUUUCUGCACGUUCAUCUAAUAUGAUUGUCUGCCAUUACUGAGGAGUGUCUGAAUUUUACGAAGCCUCUUUUGUUCAAGAAGAGUACUUCUAGUGAGUGAUAGGCCAGCUGAAACUGCUGAGUUUGUGAGAAGCAAACUAUAAAGCAGAUCUGCUUAUUUAUAUAUUGACAAGCUGGUUUUCCAGCUCUGUCAGUGCCAGAGUAAAUACGCCUCACUUUAGAAACUAAGUGGUCCAGGAGCUGGCUGAAUGGAUGAUGCCCAGUUCUCAUUUGCUGCAGCCUUGGACUGGACUAUGCUGGUGAUUACACGUGGAGGAUCAGAAUUCCGCCUCUUCUUAUGAAGGCUUGAAACCACAAGUGUCAGUGGAGGACAACCCAACAGCACAGCCACGCUCCCUUCCUGUGAUGUACAGGUCAUGCUGAAUACAGGAUGUCUGAGCUUGUAUGUAAGGAUACUGAGGGGAUGGAGAAGGGGUUGACAUGGAAUUCAGCUUUCACAGAUGGACAUUGUGGUUGACUUGUGAUCUUAUUUCUCUGGGGUUAAUCUCCCCUUCUACACUGUUGAGAGAAGCUACUUCUCAGAAUUUAUUUUGAAGUACAGAGAUGAAAAGUGCAAAGAAUUACAUUAGAACAAUGAUUUUGAGAACUGUAAUAAGUAACUGUUGGUGUAAUUCAGCAUCAUGUUAGCAAUUUUUGUAUGCUUUUUCACUGAUUACAUUAGUUAAAAGAUGACUGAUACUACUAAUAUAUAAAGACUUUCGAGGUUUGGUGAUUACUAUUUCUUUUAAAGAACCCUUUUUAGUGUUUUGGUUAGCACUAAGCUUUAGUAUACCAUAAUAGGUAUGAACUUAGUUUCAACGAUGGGGUUGGAAAAUCUCUGUUAGAGUCACAAGUGUAAGAAUUUUAUCUUGUAAAGCUUGAUAUUGCUUUUCCUGUAUGUCUGAAGGUAUUUCAGAGGAAGGAAAAAAUGUGAUCUGGCCCAUUAGACCAGAAUGUGGACUUGAAAAAGCAAUAGGAUAGUAAGGAUGAGGGGAACUUCAUGCUUUGCUGCUGAUGUAUUAAAGUAACUUCUGCAAGUUUCUACCUCAUCACCUGGGUAGAGAGCAACAGAACUAACUUGCUUGAAGGUCUGUGGAUUGUGCUCACUUGAAAGUCUAGAGAAGGGAUUGUUGCUCCUUUUGUGAUUCUGGCAAUCACUAUUAGAUAUUACCAAUAACAGUGUCGGAAAUGAGCCCAAGUUGCACAUUCAUAUCUAAACAAUCUUGCCUAUGGGGGAAAAGUAGGAGAAAUAGAAAUCCUUGAAUGAAAUACUAUGUUGUGCAAAUACUAACUGCACUCUUACUUCUGUGAAGAGAAAGAAUUAACAACAAAAAAAAAUCACAGCCAUUAAGCACAUGGGUAAGCAGAGGACUUAAUAGCUUAAUGGUCAAAAUACAGCUCUCUGGAGACUGGCAAGAUAGAAUAAAAGAUGGGAAGAGACAUGGGAGGCCUUUCUCACUGCCUGAAGCUGCUGAGCUGAAGAGCAUCAGUAUUGAGCACUGCCAUCAAUAGUAAAUGGUUCAAAAGUUUCUUCUGACUAGUGCUAAGCAUCUGAGAUGCAUGGAAAACAGAAGCACCUGUUGAAACAGGGAAGGAAACAUUGCUUUCAGCGUACUCUUCCAUCCCACCCCUCUGCAAUUCUCCUGAGAAAUUUUACGUUAUACAGAGAAUUUCUCUUUACCUCUGCUACAUCAGUUACUUCCUCCUCCUCCUUUGAGCUUUAUUAACUCAAAGACCAAAUUUAAUCCUGAAUGACAUACCUAGUAUCUCAACACAGUGGCUGCAGUGAAAAUAAGCCCAUUAGACCUGAAGAUUUUCAGUUAAAUGCUUGCUCUGCCUCUAGGGAUUAGAUUACAGCCCGGGUCUUUAACUAAGGCGACAUCCUUUCCAGAGCUGCUGAAUCAGGGUUGCAUGAGCGACAGAAAUAUAGGAGCAACCAAAAAUAUAUUCUAUAUGUUUUCCAAUAAAAAUAUCCAGAAACAUUAUGUUACACAGAAAACAGUAUCACAAGUGCUGGAAAAGCUUCAUGAUUAAUUACCGUAUUACAGCAAACUGAUUUCAAGGUAUCGUGGGCAUGGACAAUUACUUCAAAGUCAAUUCUCCAGCCCAUUCAUCUUUACCUCCAGUGCACUCACUGCUUGUCAUUUUCUCUUGCCAUUCUUAUACCUUCAGCAUGCCUGAUGGAAGUUGUCUGUGGUUUGUAAUGCAAACCAAAUGUUCCUUCUGUUUCUUUUUUUUUUUUUUUUUCCCAAGCUUUAUUUUUCCAGCUUUAAAUCUAAAAAGUCCUAACUCAGUCUGCCUUCUGCAAACAAAGUACAUGAUUUGAGCUGUGCUCAUUUGGUUCAAAUUUUUGGUUGAUAUUAAACCAAGCAUUUAAGAUGUAAAUAAUUUGGUGUAGCUCCCAGAUUGAAUGGGAAUGCACUACUGUUAACCAGACAAUAGGAAAGCUAAAGCUUCUUUACUAGCAAGAGCAAGAUGAGUUUUACAUUACCAAGUGCUAAUAGCAUGAUAUCUUGCAUGCCUUUUUAAUCUAGAUCUUGUGAUCUUCAUCAAAUUCGUUACUGAGCAGUACUAUUAGAACUGAACUGUUGCAGAUGUGAAGGAUUUCCAGGCAGUAGGAAGAGCAAGAGAUUUGGAAAUUCUCUAAUAAAAGAGCAAGAAACUCUCUGAGAGUUGAAUUUACAGUUUAAAAAAAAAAUAAAUCCCUAAUUGUAAAAUAAAAAUUCAAAAGGACGAACUUACAACAGCGAGGCAGACAAACCUGACUCCUGCAGAAGGCUGUUCCUCUUCAUAGGCCUGGCAAAAAAGACAGAGUGAAUAAUUGAAAACACACUCUUGUGGCGUCACGUGACUUGGUUUCAGUAAUUCUGCUCAGUACAUUGGAACGGAGCUAUUGUUUCCUAAUUGAAGAAAAUGUCAGCAAGGAUAGAUAAACAAAAGCAAUGGGAUGCUGUAUUGGGGGAAACUUUCCAGCAAACUUCCAGCUACCCAAAGACGCUACUCCAUUUAAGGGGUUUGUGUAAUUUGUUUUUACUCGUCGCUCUCUGGUCCUAGGAUUGAUGGGGUUCAAACAUGUUGAACCUACAGGGAAGCAUGGGGGAAUCUGUAUUAAUCGAGGGCAGGAUUUGCUGCUGGGGGCUGAGAUGGCAAGCAUGUUUCACACUUUUUUUUUUCAGAUAUUUUAAACAUUAAACUAGUAAUAAUUUCAUAGGCAGCUUCUGCUCUAGGAGCAAAAUAAAUAAAUAAUAAUAAUAAUAAUAGGAGUUACUUUUGAAUGCCAAUUCCUUAUGGUUUUCAUCACAAAGUGGCAUGGUCCCUUUAACCUGCUCUUUUUUAAAUAACUUUCCCCUUCAUGGGCUAGACUGCACCUUUGUGAUCCAGCCUUAUCAAGAACUCAGAAAAUUGUUGCUCCUUCCAUGGAGUGUGUGUGAAAUGAGAGCUAUGCCACAGAUUGCCCAUUUUCUCAAUUGCACCUUUAGUAUGCUGUGAAAUAAAUGGUUCAUAGUCCCGUCUAUUAUUAUGGCAGCUCCUCUCACCAAAAUGCUACUUGAGUUGCAUCCACUGUCAGUGGUGGGAGCAGGCAGCCACCUUAUUGCAAUGUCCAUAGGUGUGCUCAGCUGUUUUUCAUUCAUCGGUCUGCUCUUCUCUGCCUGUCGAUCCCUAGCUCUGCUCACACAUUGAUGGUUAGCAAUCUUGUUUCAGAAACCUACUUUCUCUCAGUGAUGUGACUGCUUUCAGGGGAAAGUAGGAACAAGUUGCAUAGAGAGUUUGUAAAUUAAAAAAAUAAAAAUCUCUGAGACAGCUAAUGCUAAUUUAUUGAAAUAGUGAGACCUCUUUGGAAUGUUCUCACAAACCACGGAUCCUCUACUUUUCUGGAAAGCAUAAACAGAAAACAGAAUUUUACAUGCGGCCCUGUCUGGUCAUGGAAAUGGCCAACAAGAGUGUUUAAACACCUGCUGUCCUAAAUUUCUGCUUUGUACAGCACCUACAGAAGCCCUGAAACACUCUGCUCCUGAUAAUAUCAUAGUGGUUAACUUGUAUUUUAAGUAUUUACAAAAAGAAGAAAAUUUGGCAUUUUUUUCCCAGCUAAUGGGUUUUCAGGUAUUAGUUACCCCUAAGGAAAUAUGUUGUAAAGGACACGGUUUUAACUCGAAUCACUAAAUGACAAUAAACAUUACCACAGUAUUUUAAAUACUAAUCUUUAGAAAAAUUAUGAUUUGACACUGAGUAGUGAACAGUGGUAUAUCAAGUAGCUUUCCUGGAAAGGUCAGAAAUAGGAAUAUGACUUUCUGUUUUAGAAAACAGUUCCUCACUGUGUUUGAAUAGAGAGGAUAUUGGCCUUCUAUAUAAAAUGGAAUUUUAUAAGUUCUAGUACUGUGAAAAUGAAACAUCAUUGAGGAAGCAGAGCCACGUACUGUUUACCAUUUAACUGUCUUACACUGUAACACACACAUGUUUUUGUUUAGCAAUAGAGAACUCAUUCACGCAAAAUCUCAACAGUCCCUGUAUUUUGAUCCAAACUGAUUGAGCUGGAAGCUCAAAAGGAUUGGAAAGCUGUUUUUUUCUUUUUUCUUUUUUAAUUCCCAUUGUCAUAUGCUAUUGCAUUUCCUGACUAUGGUCUGAAUUCUGUAGUUCCUAAGCCACUGGGAGUUUUGUUCAUUCAGAAUCUGGACUUCUGCCAGGGCCAGCAGCAGAAACAUAAAUAUCACAAGGAGGGGCUGUUUUUUCUUGAUGUUUCACUGUAACCUUUUGCAAUUUUUUCCAUCUUCUCUGUACAGUAAUUGUUCAGUGCCCAGUGGUGAACAGAAAAGCACAUUUUAAGAAGCCAUAAGGAAAAGGAGAGAGGGAGAGAGAAACUCUGCUGCGCCUGCCGUGUCGCACUGAUGGAACUGGAGAUCCUUCAUAUUCAAGACGCAGCUGUGGAUCCAAGAAGGCAGCUUGCCAGCAAGUCAAAUAAGAAAGUUCAUCUGUCAAAAAUACUUGCUGAAGAUUGUUUUACUCCAGGAUUGUUCAACAUCCUAAACUGCUUUUAGUAACAAUAAACGAAGUCUAGUGCAAGCAGUAUCUCCUGUUAAAUAGUUCAGGAAGUCUCCAGCAGAAAGAUUUGAGUCCUCCACCCAACCAUAGAUCGGGAAAGGACACACCAAACCUGCCCUAAGUUCCCGGACUUAAGUGUUUGGAAAUUUCACUCUCGGAAAGAUUAACAGCGCAAAGACACAAUGGAACCGGGUCAUCCUCGCGAUUCCCAUACGUAUCACUCAUUCCCAUGCUCAUCAUUCCAUUUUCCGUCACAUUUAAGGGAACAAAAUACUGCUAGGCAGAAAUCAAUCUGUCCACACAGGAGCUAUUUUUAAAGCUGUGUUUCGAAUAGCACAUGCUUUUUCCUGAAAUGUGCUCAAAGAUGAUUGUUCGUGUGACAGAGUGGUGUGUGUACACGUCAUUUCUGAUGGAGGUUUCAGAGUUCAGAGAAAACAGGAGUUGUUCAGGAUCUAGCACUUACUAAAACGGUCACUAUGCCAUCAUUUGAACCUUUAAAACUUUGGUGUAUAUAACAGGAAAUAAUGCUUAAAUCUGGGGAAAGCAACAGGCAGUUAGAGCUUUUGUAUCUGGGAAGGAUUUCCCUAUUUUAUAUGUGCUUGUAAGCAUGGCAUAAAUUGUACCGAAACCUGUGGGGCAGUUGUAAUGAUUUGCAUGUCUGAGAAUUUUCCACAGUGACAAAAAUAGCAGGAAUUUUAUUUUUAAAACUUUUAUAAAGUGGUACCUAAUCUGAUUGCAGGGGCAGCUUCUAUUUCUACCCACUGCAUUCAUGUCUGUUAAACUGUAACAUUCCCCAGUCAGAUGUGUAACAUUGCUUCUGCUUUUCAAGGCCAAAUAAAUCAUAAAGGGAGGGCAUAACAACUGGGUCUCAAGAGGAUGACUUUCUUUCUUUCUUUCUUUCUUUCUUUCUUUCUUUCUUUCUUUCUUUCUUUCUUUCUUUCUUUCUUUCUUUCUUUCUUUCUUUCUUUCUUUCUUUCUUUCUUUCUUUCUUUCUUUCCUAUUUCAAAGAAAAUGAGCAAUUUCUAAUCUUAUUCACAAAAUUAAUCUGGAUGUAGGAUCUGUUUGCAUCAGAACAACACUGGUGUGAGCAGAAGUUCCAACUUAAAUUUUAUUUCCUUCUGAGAUUACUAAUUGAAAUACUUGAGAAUAUGCUGUCUAUUGUCAUCAAAACUAGUUUUCAUUUCUAGUUUUAAUGAAAUAUAAUGAAACAUAACUAGUUUUAAUGAAAAUAGCUGCAGAAACAAGUCUGAAAACACAUGCUAUUUGCCAUCUGCUAUAUUCUCAUCCUUGAACUCAUGGCUCACAGCUAUUUUCUAGUAGUGUUAUACAUUUAUUAAGAUUUUACCUUUUUCUCUGGCUACUGCAGAAGAAAAACAAACUGGCCAAACCUCUCUGGGUGACAGACAAGAGCAGCAUGAAGAAAAGGGAAUGUAUGAAAUGAAUGCCCUGGACUGGGGAAAUCAACAGAUUGCCCAGAAUCACACCUGAGACAAAAACACAUCAUGGGACAACAGAAGGUCUGAAACUCUGCUGCAGUUGAGUUUUACUCAGGAUAUUUUUAUUUAUUUAUUUUUAGUUCAGUUUUCAUACAUAUAUUGUAAGAAACUUAUGUCAAUGAGGAUUGCUGUGGAAAAGCAAUUGCCUGCAGAACCAUCUGUUUUUCUAUUUGCCAUCUAUGUAGAAAGUGAAAUUAAACUUAUCUUUUUUUUUUCUUUCUGAAUACAUAUUUCAUUACCCAGUGACACAAGUACUUCUAGCCUUUAAAACCUGCUUCUUUGUGGUUUUAGAUUAAUUUCAACAAGAAACCAAUUUACUUAUUGAUUAAAGACUCUUAUAAAGCAGGAUUUCUUUGAGUUUUGCCAUCUUGGACCCUAACACCUCAUACAGCAUGAUGCUUGUAACAAGUAUGGAAUGGAAGUAAAUUAUAAUUUGAAUUUCAAGGCCAUAAGUUUGUUUUCUUCCUAGGCACCUGUUGUUCCUUGGCACUGCUGGUCCCACCAAGCCAGAAUGCAAGUUUAGAAAGAUUUGAGAUUUCUUUAAAAAGAAAUCUAAGAAGCCUAACCAUUGUGUAAUGAUGUAUGCAUGGUGAUGGAAGACGUGAUGCUACUGGGAAAAUAAUUAGUUCUUUUAGUCCUCUCAUAAUUAGGUUUGCAGCCUUCAGGGAAGAGCUAUGGUAAGAAAAUAGAGAAGUGUUUCUAGAAGAAGGAGGGGAAAAAAAAACAACCUUGAAACUCUUUCAAAAGUGUGGACACAGGAAAAAUAACUAUUAAAUUAUGAGCUUAAUUAAUAUCUAAAUAUAAAUGCUAACCUGGCCUCUAUCUACAGUCUAAAAACUCACUUUCCCAUAUUUUGUGUGCUGAUAGGAACUGGAGACAGUUUGCCGAAUGGACCUUGAAAGCUACCAAAAACGCCACCCUCGCUUUCGUGAUGUGCUUCCAUGUGGAAGCAAAAAAAACUGCUCGGUAAAAAUCACAUCAUGAUGAUGUCCAACCUAUACACCUAAAGCUGGGCACAGAAAGAUGAGAAGACCCAGUAGUUCCGUUACAGGGGUUUCUGUUCACACAGAUCUGUUUCAGAGGAUUUGAGCAAGCCAAGGAAAGACUGAUUAGCCCAGGGUGUGGUGCAGAGCACUAAGGUUUGCGUGGUUCCAGUAGACCAGGGUCAGCAGCCUUGCAAGCUUGCCAGGCAGUAUUUUCCUUUCCCAAAUUAGUAGUUGAGUGUGCCAGUAGAAGGUUUCCUGGUUAAUUCUGAACUGUAAAUUGAGGGAGAGCCAGGUGCCCUGCCUUCCUCCAGAGCCAGAGAGAUAUCAGUAAGCCCGUAGUAUCGCAGUGCCACCAGCUCAGCAGGAGCCCUGAACCCCUGGGUGCCAUACGAGGAAUGUGUCAGCCGCUCUUUGGUCAGCGUAUUCCAGAAGUCAGACUUCUGUUGCAGCAUCUGGGUUUACACAGAAAGUUUUGCUUUUCUGAAAUCUAGCUGAUUUAAAAAGCAAUAAUGCUGUGGGUGGGUGUAACACCAAGAAGGGUACAUGUAUGCCAUAGCCAAAAGUACUUUCUCACUUUGAGACAUCCUUCAAGUACAAAAAAGAAGCAAAUUAAUUCUGAUACUCCUCUACUCUUGGAUUGAGACAUCAGCAAAGUUUCUUUUUCAGUUCAUGUUUAUAAGUCAUUCAGUAUUCAUGUGACAGAAAUUCUCAGCCCAGUCGCUGUCAGGCACUCGUAUUUGUUUUGUACGUGCAUAAAAUGAUAGCUCACAGCAUUUGGGGGUAUGGAAUAAAUGUUACGUGUUGCAUUGCUGUAGUCUGCUUCUAAUAUUAGAACAGAAUGAGCAGCUCACUUCCUGGAGGCAUCGGCAAGCUUUAUUUGCAAAUUUUUUUCAGUGGUAUCAGACAUGUGGAAUAAAUUAUCAUAAAUUGCUUGUGAUUAAAUGUAAAGUACCAGGGUGAUUUGCAAUAGUUAAUCCUUUAAUUUCUGGGGUCUGUGAAGAGCAAAUUAAGCUGAAGACUGAUACAUGACUGGUUUUCAUUAAAACUAAUGCUCUUAUAUUAUAGUAUUGUUUUGUUUAAUUAUGGGACAUAAUUUCAGAAAUUAUAAGUUAUAGGAAUAAGGCAGUUAGCAAUGUAUACUGAACUCUAACUACUGUUAUUCUGUAUAAGCCACAAG